GGGAGGGUGGCUCAGUGGUCAGAGCAUAGCGAACUUGCAUUUGGUGCUUCCCCUAAGAAAAGCGAAACGUACCCUGAGAUGAUGCAGCUUCCUAAGAUCCUGGGUUCGAAUCCUAGUUCUCCCA